AUUGAACGCUGGCGGCAGGCCUAACACAUGCAAGUCGAGCGGAUGAAAGGAGCUUGCUCCUGGAUUCAGCGGCGGACGGGUGAGUAAUGCCUAGGAAUCUGCCUGGUAGUGGGGGAUAACGUCCGGAAACGGGCGCUAAUACCGCAUACGUCCUGAGGGAGAAAGUGGGGGAUCUUCGGACCUCACGCUAUCAGAUGAGCCUAGGUCGGAUUAGCUAGUUGGUGGGGUAAAGGCCUACCAAGGCGACGAUCCGUAACUGGUCUGAGAGGAUGAUCAGUCACACUGGAACUGAGACACGGUCCAGACUCCUACGGGAGGCAGCAGUGGGGAAUAUUGGACAAUGGGCGAAAGCCUGAUCCAGCCAUGCCGCGUGUGUGAAGAAGGUCUUCGGAUUGUAAAGCACUUUAAGUUGGGAGGAAGGGCAGUAAGUUAAUACCUUGCUGUUUUGACGUUACCAACAGAAUAAGCACCGGCUAACUUCGUG
rnacentral:rRNA from 1 species